CUCCACAGCACCCCCCAACGCGCGCGCACACCCUGGCGCUCCGGGCCGCCUCUCCCCGGGCCCCCGCAAUACGCCCCCAGCUCGCACUCGCGCCCCCCGGGGCUCCGCCCCCACGCCCAAGCCGAGCUCACCUUGCCGCGCUCACCCCCGCGCCCGCCCGCGCCGGCACGCGCCGCCACCUCCAGGCACACCCUAGGAUUCCUCCACUCGCCCGCGGAGACGCACCAGGCUCUGCCCGUCUCCCCGCCCCCCGCGCGCGCGCCCCUCCACACACACACACACACACACGCGCGCACACCCUCGCGCGGGGAGUCACACGCCCUCGCCCCGGGCACUCUCCCGCGGCGAGCCUCCAGGUCCUCCUCCUCUCUGCCUCCGCUGCCUGGCGGCCCGCGCUCUCGGGCCUGGCCUGGAGCCGCCCGGCGGGCGGGGAGCGGCGGGGAGCGGCGGGGAGCGGAGGGCGCAGCCUCGCCGCCGCCCCCGGACCUCCCCUGCACCCCGCCCACGCCGCGCCCCGGCGCCUCCCGCUCGGGGGAAGGGACCUCGCCAGGCAGCCCGGGGCCCGCCGGGCUCCGCUCCGCGCGGCGCCGGCGGCGGCGGGGGCAGGGCGCGAGCGAGGCAGCCCGCGAGCCCGCGAGCCGGGCGGCGGGGAGGGGACGCGCCGCGGAGCCGGGGCCGGAGCUGCGGCGCAGGAGGGAGGGAGGGGGGAGGGAGGGCCCCAGGGCCCCACGGCCCCACGGAGCGAGGGACGCACGGACGGACCGAGCCAGGGAGGGAGCGAGCGAGACCUCGCCGGCGAGCGGCGGCUGCUGGGCGCUUCCCCGCGCUGCUGGGCGCUCGGCGCCUCCGCGGCCCCGGCUCCGGCUCCGGCUCCGGCCGCAGCUGCCUCGCGCGCGGGUGCGGGGCCCGCCACUCGCUCCGCCGAAGGUAAGAGGGACGCGACCGAGCCUCCUGGAGCGGGAAGCGCACGGAGCGCCGCUCCCACGCCUGUUGCUCCAGCUGCCCACGCGGCGCCCUCCCACUCCUGCGCCCGGGCGGGUGGGCGCUGGGGCGCCGGAAGGACUGCGGGUGGGGCCGGCGCCGCGGGGAGCAGGCAGCCGGCCGGGGGCGUCGGUUCCCUCCCGCGGGCUGUGCAGCCGCCUGGGGCCGGGGCCGGGCCGCGCGGCGACGCGAGGCUUGGGUGGGGUGCGAGCCUCGCGCUCCUUCCACUGGCCUGCCCUCCGCGGGGUGCCGCGGGCAGCCCGGACCUGGCGGCAGGUGGCGACGGCUCGCUGGCACCCCCACCCCGUUGAGGGGCACCGGAGACAUGGCUGA
rnacentral:lncRNA from 1 species